GUCUGCACUUGUACCACCUGCAGUUCAGACUAGGUAAUCCAUCUGAUGCUCAGUAGGUUUGGGCCUGGCCAGUACUUGGAUGGAAACCCACUAGGAAAGCCAGGUUGUUGCUGGAA
rnacentral:rRNA from 1 species